rnacentral:rRNA from 1 species
GCGGAUCACGUUAUGUGACAUAUCAUUCAAGUUUCUGACCUAUCAGCUUUAGACGGUAGGGUAUUGGCCUACCGUGGCUAUGACGGGUAACGGGGAAUUAGGGUUCGAUUCCGGAGAGGGAGCCUGAGAAACGGCUACCACAUCUAAGGAAGGCAGCAGGCGCGCAAAUUACCCAAUCCUAAUACAGGGAGGUAGUGACAAGAAAUAACAAUACAGAACCUCACGGUUUUGUAAUUGGAAUGAGUUAAGUAUAAACCCCUUAACGAGUAUCAAUUGGAGGGCAAGUCUGGUGCCAGCAGCCGCGGUAAUUCCAGCUCCAAUAGCGUAUAUUAAAGUUGUUGCAGUUAAAAAGCUCGUAGUUGAUUUUCUGUUAAUUUUUAUGUAUAAUAUUGCGAUAUUUACAUAAUAUUAACAUAAUUCACAUUACUUUACAGUAUGUGGAAA